CAAAAUGUAGCUUAUAUAAAGCACCUGGCCUACACCCAGGAGAUUCCAUAUAAAUGUGGACACUUUGA
rnacentral:tRNA from 1 species